rnacentral:rRNA from 1 species
ACCUACGGGACGCAGCAGUGAGGAAUAUUGGUCAAUGGCCGAGAGGCUGAACCAGCCAAGUCGCGUGAGGGAAGACGGCCCUACGGGUUGUAAACCUCUUUUGUCGGGGAGCAAAGCGAACCACGUGUGGUUCAUUGAGAGUACCCGAAGAAAAAGCAUCGGCUAACUCCGUGCCAGCAGCCGCGGUAAUACGGAGGAUGCGAGCGUUAUCCGGAUUUAUUGGGUUUAAAGGGGGCGCAGGCGGAGGUGCAAGCCAGCGGGCAAAUUGCGGGGCUCAACCCCGUACUGCCGUUGAAACUGGAACC